rnacentral:rRNA from 1 species
UGGGGAAUUUUGGACAAUGGGCGAAAGCCUGAUCCAGCAAUGCCGCGUGUGUGAAGAAGGCCUUCGGGUUGUAAAGCACUUUUGUCCGGAAAGAAAUCCUCUGGGUUAAUACCUCGGGGGGAUGACGGUACCGGAAGAAUAAGCACCGGCUAACUACGUGCCAGCAGCCGCGGUAAUACGUAGGGUGCAAGCGUUAAUCGGAAUUACUGGGCGUAAAGCGUGCGCAGGCGGUUUUGUAAGACGGAUGUGAAAUCCCCGGGCUUAACCUGGGAACUGCAUUCGUGACUGCAAGGCUAGAGUAUGGCAGAGGGGGGUUAGAAUUCCACGUGUAGCAGUGAAAUGCGUAGAGAUGUGGAGGAAUACCGAUGGCGAAGGCAGCCCCCUGGGCCAAUACUGACGCUCAUGCACGAAAGCGUGGGGAGCAAACAGGAUUAGAUACCCUGGUAGUCCACGCCCUAAACGAUGUCAACUAGUUGUUGGGGAUUCAUUUCCUUAGUAACGUAGCUAACGCGUGAAGUUGACCGCCUGGGGAGUACAGU